GUGCAGGGCCUUGGGUGCUGCCAACCUCCUCCCCGCUGGGCUUCCGCAGAACUGGAACUCUCACCUCAGGGGCCACCACAUCCCUCCUCUCUGCUUCUCCCCCCAGAUCAAAGGGCACCCUCCACGGUUGGCAGGGCCUGGCUGAGUGCCUCCAGCACCCUUGUGCCACCACAGGCAGUCCCAGGAGGGGCAGCAAGGUCAGACCAUUCCUCAUUGAAAACUGUGGCUAGGGCACAGGGUUGUGAUCUGAAGGAGUAGGUCACAACACUGCCUAAGGCUGUCCCUCUCAAUGCUAGGACCCUCCCCCUACUCCCAGUGGCAGCCAAACCAGCAAUAUCCGACAGAUGUAGGCCCCCUAGGGGACAGUGUGGGCCCCCAGAUACAAGAUGGAUACCCCUGCAGUGAAGCAUCCCAAAGCCAAAUGUCCAAUUGCAUCCUGUCUGCAGCUGGGACUUCGGAAGGUACGGCUGGGCAGACAGCAAAGUUGAUCACCUAUUGUCUCGGGGUGGCAGAUGCAGCCAUGCCUUGACAUCACCACCCGUGACAGCUACCCCUGCACAGUUGGGACAGAUGUCGGGGCCAGAGCCAUGAAGGUGUGGUACCCCUUGAUCAGCUUCUCCAGAAGGUCUUGGCCCCAGGUCUUGGGUGGGGGGUGGGGGGGAGUGUCACAUGAGUACAGAGGUCAAAUAUCUACCACCUUCCAGCCCUGAGCGCCAGAAGUUCUGCAACCUACGUCUUCAGGAAUGACCUUCCCCUUGCUGCCCAGGUUAUACUUCUGGAGGGAGAGAAAAGUCACUCCACAAGGAUUUUCCCACCACUCUACUCUGAAAGCAACACAGUUCUGGCCCAGUAUCUAACUAGGGUUAGGUCCAAGAGAGGAGUCAAGCAGGUGGGGUGCGGGUGGCAGCAGGCAUUCUCCCCCAGGGAAACCACAGAAGUCCCCAGGGCCUGCAGGCACUUUCUAUCACUUUCCCUGUGUGAAGGACCUUAGUUCCAUGGAGAUGAAGGAGGUGAGGUUCAGGUAGAAGCCACAGGGGCAGGCAUCCAGAAUGAGGCCCCCUGAGGAACCCUGAGUGCUGACCAGUGCCAGCAGAAAGUUCCACCCUGUGGCCCUGACACUGUCAGGGAGACACCAACUGCAGCAGGCAGGAGCUACAGGAAGGAAGACGUCAUCCAAUGGAGCCUGAUAUCCCCAGGUUCCCGCCCUGGUGGGCAAGGUCUUCAUUUGGCUUCAGUGCAUGUGAUCCUAUACAGGGAACCUAGUGUGUACCACUCACCAGCCUCUUUCUGUAUCUGGGGAAACCAAGGCAGUGAGAUGACUGCACUCACCUAGCAAUAAAGUAGGCCUUUGGUGCACUUGCGGGCAUGUCCUCUGGGGCAGAAAGCAGGUUCCUUACUGAAGGGCAGAUGGUGGCAAGCAUCUCCCUCAACUGUUUCCCUGGGCCAGUCUUUAGGGAGCCAAGGGACAAGGGCCCACCCUCCCCCUUCCACGUGUGCCAAAUCAGCACCUGAAGUGAGUCAUUUCCAGCAAGCAACUCCACAGACCCAAGAAAAGAAGGACUCCAGUGGAAGAGCUAGCAUCUCACCACCCCAGGUCCCCCGGGCUGGUCCAGGGCAGCCAGCUGCAUGUGACCAUUCUGUUGCCAGCUCCCCACACAUCCCUCCUGUCACCCAGGCCCCAAGACAUUCGACCAACUGGACUGAAACCGCAGGCAUCCAGCUUUGGGAGGCCCUGUGCUACACAGGGCUAAGCUCUCCCAGUACCCUGGCAAGGUCUUUUUUUUUCUCUCCUUAUUCUACUUUACAGUCUUUUCUUUGACAGUAUUCCUAAACUAGGUUGACACAGCUCCAGUCCACACCAGCAUACCAGGCUUCCUCCCCAGGGCAGUUUAGAGGAAGCUCCUUCCGGGCACGGGCAGGCGGUCCUCCUUCCCUCUCCUUCCCCUUUGUCCCGGCCUCAACUGACUGGCUAUGGGAGGUGUGGAGGGUCCUUGGGCUUUCCUCCCCAACCUGGCCUCCACUAGCACCCCUAACAGGAGGCCCGUGGAAGGCUCAGCCUCUCCUCCACAUCCCUCCUCCUUCCUGCCUAUCGGAGGCAACCAGGGUCCCCAAGGCCGACCCUGAAUCCUCUUCCUUCCUUCAUGGGAGGGGGGCAGGAAUCCAGAGGAGGACGAAGCCAGUGGGACCACAUGGCUUGGUGGCUUGGACAAACAAGCUCAGGGAGGAAACGAGGAGGCGGCGGCUGCAGAGGAAUGCAACCCUCUUGGGCACAGACCAUGCAAUCUGGGGCUGGCCCUGGGGCCAGCUGGGUCCUGUUCUCCACCUGCUCAACCGUGCUUCCACCAACCAGAGGAAUCCCAUUUACUAGUUUUUCUAAUAAAUCAAUAAUGCUCC
ensembl:lncRNA